rnacentral:rRNA from 1 species
UACGGAGGGUGCAAGCGUUAUCCGGAUUCACUGGGUUUAAAGGGUGCGUAGGCGGGCAGGUAAGUCAGUGGUGAAAUCUCCGGGCUUAACCCGGAACUGCCGUUGAUACUAUCUGUCUUGAAUAUCGUGGAGGUAAGCGGAAUAUGUCAUGUAGCGGUGAAAUGCUUAGAUAUGACAUAGAACACCCAUUGCGAAGGCAGCUUACUAUACGAUCAUUGACGCUGAGGCACGAAAGCGUGGGGAGCAAACAGG